rnacentral:rRNA from 1 species
GAGCGAACGCUGGCGGCGUACUUAACACAUGCAAGUCGUACGAGGAUCGUCGGGUUAGCAAUAAUUCGACGGUUCGAGUGGCGCACGGGUGAGUAACACGUGGGUAACCCACCCUCGAGACCGGGAUACCCUCUCGAAAGGGAGGCUAAUACUGGAUACGUUCCUCGGGACGCACGUCCUGGGGAGGAAAGGUGGCGAAAGCUGCCGCUCUUGGAGGGGCUCGCGGCCUAUCAGCUAGUUGGUGAGGUAACGGCUCACCAAGGCUAUGACGGGUAGCUGGUCUGAGAGGACGACCAGCCACACGGGAACUGAGACACGGUCCCGACUCCUACGGGAGGCAGCAGUGGGGAAUUUUCCGCAAUGGGCGAAAGCCUGACGGAGUGACGCCGCGUGGGGGACGAAGGCCUUCGGGUCGUAAACCCCUGUCAGAGGGAAAGAAGGGUGUCGGCGUGAAUAGCGCCGGCAUCUGACGGUACCUUCAGAGGAAGCCCCGGCCAACUCUGUGCCAGCAGCCGCGGUAAGACAGAGGGGGCAAGCGUUGCUCGGAAUCACUGGGCGUAAAGGGCGCGUAGGCGGGAUGGCAAGUCGGUCGUGAAAUCCUUCGGCUCAACCGAAGAACGUCGGCCGAUACUGCCGUUCUUGAGGGAUGCAGAGGAGAUUGGAAUUCCCGGUGUAGCGGUGAAAUGUGUAGAGAUCGGGAGGAACACCGGUGGCGAAGGCGGGUCUCUGGGCAUCUCCUGACGCUGAGGCGCGAAAGCGUGGGGAGCAAACGGGAUUAGAUACCCCGGUAGUCCACGCUGUAAACGAUGACGACUAGGUGUGGGGGGGGUUAGUCCUUUCCGUGCCGCAGCUAACGCAUUAAGUCGUCCGCCUGGGGAGUACGGCCGCAAGGGUGAA